AACGAACGCUAGCGGCAGGCCUAACACAUGCAAGUCGAGCGCUCACCUUCGGGUGGGAGCGGCGCACGGGUGAGUAACACGUGGGAACCUACCUUGAAGUACGGAAUAACUGAGGGAAACUUCAGCUAAUACCGUAUACGCCCUACGGGGGAAAGAUUUAUCGCUUCAAGACGGGCCCGCGUUGGAUUAGCUAGUUGGUGAGGUAAUGGCUCACCAAGGCAACGAUCCAUAGCUGAUUUGAGAGAAUGAUCAGCCACACUGGGACUGAGACACGGCCCAGACUCCUACGGGAGGCAGCAGUGGGGAAUAUUGGACAAUGGGCGCAAGCCUGAUCCAGCCAUGCCGCGUGAGUGAUGAAGGCCUUCGGGUUGUAAAGCUCUUUCAGAUGGGACGAUGAUGACGGUACCAUCAGAAGAAGCCCCGGCUAACUUCGUGCCAGCAGCCGCGGUAAUAC
rnacentral:rRNA from 1 species